rnacentral:rRNA from 1 species
GGCGCACGGGUGCGUAACGCGUAUAGAACCUACCUUAUAGAAGGGAAUAGCCCAGAGAAAUUUGGAUUAAUGCCCUAUAGUAUUAUUGAUUGGCAUCGAUUAAUAAUUAAAGAUUUAUCGCUAUAAGAUGGCUAUGCGUUCUAUUAGCUAGUUGGUAUGGUAACGGCAUACCAAGGCAACGAUAGAUAGGGGUCCUGAGAGGGAGAUCCCCCACACUGGUACUGAGACACGGACCAGACUCCUACGGGAGGCAGCAGUGAGGAAUAUUGGACAAUGGAGGCAACUCUGAUCCAGCCAUGCCGCGUGCAGGAAGACUGCCCUAUGGGUUGUAAACUGCUUUUAUAGAGGAAGAACUAGUGCUACGUGUAGCACCUUGACGGUACUCUACGAAUAAGGAUCGGCUAACUCCGUGCCAGCAGCCGCGGUAAUACGGAGGAUCCAAGCGUUAUCCGGAAUCAUUGGGUUUAAAGGGUCCGUAGGCGGGUCUGUAAGUCAGUGGUGAAAGUUUACGGCUCAACCGUGAAAUUGCCAUUGAUACUGCAGGUCUUGAAUUAUUGUGAAGUGGUUAGAAUAUGUAGUGUAGCGGUGAAAUGCAUAGAUAUUACAUAGAAUACCGAUUGCGAAGGCAGAUCACUAACAAUAUAUUGACGCUAAGGGACGAAAGCGUGGGUAGCGAACAGGAUUAGAUACCCUGGUAGUCCACGCCGUAAACGAUGGUUGUCACUAGCUGUCCGGUCUUCGGACUGGGCGGCCAAGCGAAAGUGAUAAGUGACCCACCUGGGGAGUACGUUCGCAAGAAUGAAACUCAAAGGAAUUGACGGGGGCCCGCACAAGCGGUGGAGCAUGUGGUUUAAUUCGAUGAUACGCGAGGAACCUUACCAGGGCUUAAAUGUAGUCUGACAGGGCUGGAGACAGCUUUUUCUUCGGACAGACUGCAAGGUGCUGCAUGGUUGUCGUCAGCUCGUGCCGUGAGGUGUCAGGUUAAGUCCUAUAACGAGCGCAACCCCUGUUGUUAGUUGCCAGCGAGUGAAGUCGGGAACUCUAGCAAGACUGCCGGUGCAAACCGCGAGGAAGGUGGGGAUGACGUCAAAUCAUCACGGCCCUUACGUCCUGGGCCACACACGUGCUACAAUGGCCGGUACAGAGAGCAGCCACUGGGUGACCAGGAGCGAAUCUAUAAAGCCGGUCACAGUUCGGAU